UUACAAAACUAUAAAGAUGUAGGCCUCAAAUGAACAGUGCAAUAAUAUUACAUUUCUAAUUAUUUUAACACAAAACGCACACAAAACGACGUCGUUUAAUCGGAAAAAAAUCCAAAUAAAGCGUGGACGCCUUUUCUUUUCCAAUUUCUUUUGCUGCUCAAAUUUAUGGUCCGCCCAUAUCCGUGGGCCCUUCUCUUAAUAUUUCCAGUAUUUUCCAUUUUUCUUUAACAAACUCACGCGAGUUGUGUUCAUUUACACGCGCUUGCUUUCGGCGGUUGUCAGUCUGCUUCUGCGUUCUCUCGCUUGUCAAUCCCACCUUGACGUUUGUAGCUUCCGGUGUAGCCUGUGGGACGUGGGUUUACACAAUCUUUAUCGUCUCAUUUCUCUUUCCAAUUUUACAUUCUCCGGAGGCCAUUUCAGUACCCAACUAAAGGAAAACCCUAAAAAUUGCACUCUCAAAGCAAACCGCCCGCAAAUCAUCAGUCAUUCGAUGUAUUUUUUGCACAUCCGAUGGAGGUUUUCAAUCCCCAUCUCUGUUUCGUGAGUACAACAACAACAAAAUAGGGGUUUUCUAACCUUUUUAUGCCGAUGCCGAAAACUGCCGAGGUUCUCAGCCAUUAGGUUCUUCGUUUCCUCCAUUUUCUUUGUUCAAUCCAUUUAGGUUUGCUCUCGAUUACAUUUGAAGACAACUGCCUUAUUCCCUGCAGAAUGGGUCUGGGUAUAAUUUUUUCUCUCUUUCUUGAUUAAUCAUGUUAAGCUACACUUUGGUGCGAAAUUUGUGCAGAUCUUCCUAAUUUUUGCUACUAACUUUUUUCUUUCACUUGUUUAUGUGGGAUCCAUUUAAGUAAGCCCACUUAUCUAUUUAUCUUAUUAUCUUAAGCGAUUGCAGACUUUUCGGCGGGGCGGAAGACGUUGUCUCGUCCAUUUACUGAGUCAGUGACAUACGUGGUAUACUGAUGUGGUUUGGUGCUCGGUUGAUUAGUUCUUCAUUCCGCCUCCGACAAUCCUCUCCGUCUGCCUCCUGUCCAAACCAGGCAACACACACUUGUUUAUUGAAAGGGUAUCUUUGGAUCUCAGUUUUUGUUGUUAUGGAAUUAUAUUAUGUUUUUUUGUUUCUGUGUUCUACGAGUAUUUUAAUUAUCUAAUAUAGUUGGUUUUUUGUCUUUUAAUUAACUGCAUAUCCUUUUCAAUAUCGUCGACUAAAUUAUUUCUUCAAAUUCAAAAUUGUUGUUACAUGGUUGUUAAAUUUAUGUUUUUCACCAUGGGUAUUCAAAUUUGGUUUUGCAGAAGUUUCAGUCAACAUUCAUCAGAUAGGCAUGUUAUCCAUAUCUGGUCAAAACCCAAUUAUAUAGGAAAAAUUGGCUGUCCUUGCUUUCAUUUGCAGUUGUUCAGUGUAUUGUGUAAUGGUUUUGUAAUUGAUCUAUGUCCUUGCUUUCAUUUGCAUUUGAUUUGAGGUUAUGUGUUUUGCUUUCAAUCGCUUAUUGCUCUUCUCUGAUAUUUUUUUAGCUGAUAUCCUUGGAAAUGCUAAUAGAAACCACUCAAGCUUACUCGGGCAAGAUGAUAUCCUAUGGAUUUAUGUGCAUUUGUUUUUUGCCACGGGGUAUCUCUGACGAAUUUUGGCGGGGUAGGUGAUGGAACGACGUCGAAUACCAGAGCUUUUCAGAUGGUUGUCGAUCAUCUCAGCCAGUUCGAAUCGGACGGUGGAUCGAUGCUCUUUGUUCCUUCUGGGAAGUGGGGUUGACUGGAAGCUUUAAUUUGACCAGCCAUUUUACAUUCUUUCUCCAUAAAGAUGUUGUUCUUCUCGCUUCUCAGGGGAUGAUGGCACCAUUAAUGGGCAUGGUGAAUCCUGGUUGAAGAAAUUCCAAAAGGGAGAUUCACAGUUAACUAGACUUUAUUUAAUUGAAAUAAUGUACUCUGUAAAUGUCCAAAUAUCAAUUUUUUUUUUUUUUUGAGAUGAAACCAAAUAUCAAAUUUAACACUUGUUAAUUCACCAUCAUGGAAUGUUCAUCCUGUACUAUGUGUCUUUGUAAUUACUAUGCUUAUAGGUUUGGAUUGUUUAUUGAUAAUUAUGUUUUUGUUUAUAAGAGUUGGUUCCAUGGA